CCCUUAGAUGUCCUGGGCCGCACGCGCGCUACACUGACAUGUUCAACAAGUUUCUCCUAGUUCGACAGGACUGGGAAAUCUUUGAACGCAUGUCGUGAUAGGGAUAGAUCAUUGCAAUUAUUGAUCUUGAACGAGGAAUUCCUAGUAAACGCGAGUCAUCAGCUCGCAUUGAUUACGUCCCUGCCCUUUGUACACACCGCCCGUCGCACCUACCGAUUGAAUGGUCCGGUGAAGCCUCGGGAUUGUGGCCAGUUCACUUUAUUGGGAGUUGGCUGCGAGAACUUGUCUAAACCUUAUCAUUUAGAGGAAGGUGAAGUCGUAACA
rnacentral:rRNA from 1 species